rnacentral:rRNA from 1 species
UACGGGGGGGGCUAGCGUUGUUCGGAAUUACUGGGCGUAAAGGGCGCGUAGGCGGAUAGGUAAGUCCGUGGUGAAAUCCUGCAGCUUAACUGCAGAACUGCCAUGGAUACUAUUUAUCUUGAAUGUCGUGGAGGUUAGCGGAAUAUGUCAUGUAGCGGUGAAAUGCUUAGAUAUGACAUAGAACACCCAUUGCGAAGGCAGCUAACUACGCGAAUAUUGACGCUGAGGCACGAAAGCGUGGGGAUCAAACAGG